UUAAGUUCAGCGGGUAGUCCUACCUGAUUUGAGAUCGAACGUUCGAAAAGCUGUCUUCGCUGAAGGAGAGACAUCUGUAAGCUCCAGCGAACCUCCAUCACUGAAGGUCACUCGGCAGACGAUCACGAGCGUAGAUAGUUAUCACACCCAUGACGCCACCAAACACUGGUAAGCUGAUUCAUUUGAGAGGAGCUGACCGA
rnacentral:misc_RNA from 1 species